UUCUGUUGGUGAUUGGAGAGGUGCUCUAAAUGCGUUCAAAGAGGGGUACAAGCAAGUAGCUUCUCUAGUGACUUAUAAAUGUGCCUAUGUUAUUUAUGUAAACAGCCACGUUAAAACAAGUAUAAUUGUAAGAUUUUUCGGUUGGGACUAUACAUAUGACAUCGAGGUCAAGUGAUAAAUUCACCGCGAGGGAGGGAGCUUAAAACCUUCUAUUAAGAGGUUUCAUUUUGGUUCUAUGCAAUCUUAUGCUCACAAACAUAUUUGACUUGUAUAGAAAAAUAAUAUAAGAGGGGAGGCAAGUGUCUUCGACCUAGAAAAGCAGCACCUCUAGCUUGUGCCUGCAUUGCUCCAUGAUUUAUAUCAAAACUAGGCUACAAUCCUUUUCUUGAAUAAUUUUCUGAGUUGUAUCGAAAUAAAAAUGAAAAUCGUUAAAGGUAAAUUUUGCUGCUUUUUCUUCUUUGUUAAUAUAUUCUAUAUAUUGCUAAAGAGAGAAUAGGUUGGAAAAGAACUUGUAUGAAAUGAUUUACACAUUUUCUUCAAUCGAGAGUGACAUUGACUGUUUUGAUGAGCUCAGAACAUUUUAAGUUAAACACUAAUUGAUAUGUAUAUGCAAAAAUAUUUUUCUGAGAUGGACCUAUUAGCAUAGGCUUUGAAUUGCUAAACAUGCUUGAACUUUAAUAGCUUGCUCUUCUUCUGUUAGAAAACUAGAAAGACAUAUUAUGCUUCAGUAAUAAUUGAAUUUUUUAAUUUCUUGCGUGUUACCUGGCAUUCCUAAACUUGCAAUUGGAAUCUAGAAUUGGAGAAACCUGUUUGACUUCUAUAGUGUAAUUUUUUAAAUUUCUUGUGUGUUAUCUGUAUCUAUCUAUACCUUGAUUGAAGUAGAAACUUUUGCAUUUCAAGUCACGAGCAAGUAUUAAAAGGUAAUAUGUAUAUCAUGUAAUAGGUGCAGCAAAAAGUGAAAACGUUCGAAGAACUGAAGAAAAUGAUAGGACAUUGGACAAUGAAAUAAAGGAGUUUAAGGGAUAGGUGGAGGAUACUUGCCAAGGACUCUAGAUCUUCCUACUCAAGGGAAAUGUAAACAAAUUAGGACCUCCCGGAUUGUGCGUACUACUUGAGAGGACAUUAUAGUUUUAUAUAAUUAACUGAGCAGACGAGCUACAAGUUUUGGAGUACAUAGUUGUUAGUUCAUGAUAUAGGAGUCAUCAUCAUAUGUAUUCAUACUUAGUGAAUGAUUUUUAUUUAUGUAUUGAUGAUGUGUUUCGGAUUCAA